UACGGGGGGGGUAAGCGUUGUUCGGAAUCACUGGGCGUGAAGGGCGCGUAGGCGGGAUGGCAAGUCAGUCGUGAAAUCUCUCGGCUCAACCGAGAAACGUCGGCUGAUACUGCCGUUCUUGAGGGAUGCAGAGGAGACUGGAAUUCCCGGUGUAGCGGUGGAAUGCGUAGAGAUCGGGAAGAACAUCAGUGGCGAAGGCGGUCUGCUGGGCCGUUGCUGACGCUGAGGCGCGACAGCGUGGGGAGCAAACAGG
rnacentral:rRNA from 1 species